AUUCUCAUUUAGGCUUAGAUGAUUUUUAGGUGGCCUUUCUUCACAAGCGUGACCUUUCUGUGAGAGUGAGGAUGUACCGAAUCCUCUGAUUCAAAUGAAGAAAGAGAAGAUUGAGAAAAGACAGUUUUGCAAGUUCACACAGAAGCAGUGCCAGCAGUAAACUAAAUGUUCAAGACCUUCACCUUUUGGAAUGAGGAGGUACUAAAGAAUAUUUUGCUAAGUGAAAAUAUGAUAAGUUGCCUAAAAUAACUUUUUAUCUUUCAAGAACUUUGGUUAGAGCUCAUGGUGAGCCAGUCCUUCUUGAACAACAGACCAUCUUUAAAAGCCUUUAAUACUUGCUGGUUUGCUUUUAUUUCACAGUUUCAAUAUAACAAACAAUAUUUCUGGAUUUCUGUCCAUUGCAGCUAUUGUCUGUGGAUGAUUGCUAGACUGGCUUGACACUUUUGUACUAGAAAAAAAUUACCCAAUCAAGAGGAUAUAACAAGUCUGGAUCACUCAAACGUUUCCAAGGUUGCAAAUCAGGAUUCCAUCUUAAAGUGAAAAAGACAUAUGUUUUUAACUAGAAUGGUAAGUAUUAGAAAAUAUUGUGAUGAAGACAGUUCUCACAAGACCCUGGCACCAGUGAACUCAAUGAAGAAAAACCCACUAACUAAAUUAAACAUGUCUGGAUUUUAAUAUAACUUUCUUGAGAUGCAUAUAGCUAUGAAAUAGCUGAUGAGGUGGCAAGACUACAUUUUCCUUUCUAUGUACUCUUUUUUUAUGUUACUGUCUGUAGGCGGUUUGUGAGCCAGACUUGAUUCAGCAUGUUACAAAUAAGUAUACACUGUAUUCUCUAAUAGAGACAUUACCUUUGUUCUUAUUUCCAUUUAUCUUUUUCCCUUAUAAUAAAAUAAAUUAUUCAAACUGAAA